CUACGGGGGGCUGCAGUGAGGAGUAUUGCACAAUGGGGGGAACCCUGAUGCAGCAACGCCGCGUGGAGGAUGACGCAUUUCGGUGUGUAAACUCCUUUUAUAUGUCAAGAAAAUGACGGUAGCAUAUGAAUAAGCACCGGCUAACUCCGUGCCAGCAGCCGCGGUAUACGGAGGGUGCAAGCGUUACUCGGAAUCACUGGGCGUAAAGGACGCGUAGGCGGGUUGGAAAGUCAGGUGUGAAAUCCUACAGCUUAACUGUAGAACUGCACUUGAAACUUCUAAUCUAGAGUAUGGGAGGGGGAGAUGGAAUUAGUGGUGUAGGGGUAAAAUCCGUAGAUAUCACUAGGAAUACCUAAAGCGAAGGCGAUCUCCUGGAACAUUACUGACGCUAAGGCGUGAAAGCGUGGGGAGCAAACAGGAUUAGAUACCCGCGUAGUC
rnacentral:rRNA from 1 species